UACAGAGGUCCCAAGCGUUGUUCGGAUUCACUGGGCGUAAAGGGUGCGUAGGCGGUUGGGUAAGUCUGUCGUGAAAUCUCCGAGCCUAACUCGGAAACUGCGUCGGAUACUAUUCAACUCGAGGAAUGGAGGGGAGACUGGAAUUCUCGGUGUAGCAGUGAAAUGCGUAGAUAUCUGGAGGAACACCGGUGGCGAAGGCGGCAUCCUGGACCAAUAUUGACGCUGAGGAGCGAAAGCCAGGGGAGCAAACGGG
rnacentral:rRNA from 1 species